UGCCAGCAGCCGCGGUAAUACGGAGGGUGCGAGGGUUAAUCGGGAUAGCUGGGCGUAAAGCGCAUGCAGGCGGUCUGUUAAGCAAGAUGUGAAAGCCCGGGGCUCAACCUCGGAACAGCAUUUUGAACUGGCAGACUAGAGUCCUGUAGAGGGGGGUAGAAUUUCAGGUGUAGCGGUGAAAUGCGUAGAGAUCUGAAGGAAUACCGGUGGCGAAGGCGGCCCCCUGGACAAAGACUGACGCUCAGAUGCCAAAGCGUGGGGAGCAAACAGGAUUAGAUA
rnacentral:rRNA from 1 species